AGAGUUUGAUCAUGGCUCAGGACGAACGCUGGCGGCGUGCUUAACACAUGCAAGUGGAGCGACGAACCGGGCUUCGGCCCGGGGCAAAGCCGCGAACGGGUGAGUAUCACGUGGGUAACCUGCCCCGAUGACCGGGACAACCCGAGGAAACUCGGGCUAAUACCGGAUGUGCUCGCAGCACAUCAGUGCAGUGAGUAAAGGAAGCUUCGGCCUCCGCAUUGGGAUGGGCCCGCGGCCCAUUAGCUUGUUGGUGAGGUAAAGGCUCACCAAGGCGACGAUGGGUAGCUGGUCUGAGAGGACGAUCAGCCACACUGGGACUGAGACACGGCCCAGACUCCUACGGGAGGCAGCAGUGGGGAAUCUUGCGCAAUGCGCGAAAGCGUGACGCAGCAACGCCGCGUGAGGGAAGAAGGCCUUCGGGUUGUAAACCUCUUUCAGGAGGGACGAAGGUUCAGGCGCGAAUAGCGUCCUGGACUGACGGUACCUCCAGAAGAAGCCCCGGCUAACUACGUGCCAGCAGCGGCGGUAAUAC
rnacentral:rRNA from 1 species